ACUUCGUUCCAGCAGCCGCGGUAAUACGAAGGGGGCUAGCGUUGUUCGGAUUUACUGGGCGUAAAGCGCACGUAGGCGGGCUAAUAAGUCAGGGGUGAAAUCCCGGGGCUCAACCCCGGAACUGCCUUUGAUACUGUUAGUCUUGAGUAUGGUAGAGGUGAGUGGAAUUCCGAGUGUAGAGGUGAAAUUCGUAGAUAUUCGGAGGAACACCAGUGGCGAAGGCGGCUCACUGGACCAUUACUGACGCUGAGGUGCGAAAGCGUGGGGAGCAAACAGG
rnacentral:rRNA from 1 species